rnacentral:tRNA from 1 species
UAGCUCAAUUGGUAGAGCGCACGCUUUGCAUGCGUGAGGUAGGGGGAUCGAAGCCCC